GAUGAACGCUGGCGGAGUGCCUAAUACAUGCAAGUCGAGCGGCAGCGCGAGUAGUUUACUACUUGGCGGCGAGCGGCGGACGGCUGAGUAACGCGUGGGAACGUGCCCCAAAGUGAGGGAUAACCACCCGAAAGGGUGGCUAAUACCGCGUAUGAUCUUCGGAUUAAAGGAUUUAUCCGCUUUGGGAGCGGCCCGCGUACGAUUAGAUUGUUGGUGAGGUAAUGGCUCACCAAGUCGACGAUCGUUAGCUGGUCUGAGAGGAUGAUCAGCCAGACUGGGACUGAGACACGGCCCAGACUCCUACGGGAGGCAGCAGUAAGGAAUCUUCCACAAUGGGGGCAACCCUGAUGGAGCAACUCCGCGUGCAGGACGAAGGCCUUCGGGUCGUAAACUGCUUUUAUGAGUGAAGAAUAUGACGGUAACUCAUGAAUAAGGAUCGGCUAACUACGUGCCAGCAGCCGCCGCUG
rnacentral:rRNA from 1 species